AUGCGCGCGCGAGGGGGCGGCGCGGCCGCGCCGCGGCCGGAGCACCUGGCGGCGCACGCGCGGCUCGUCAAGUCGGCGGACGCGGACCCGUUCGUCGUCAGCACCGUCAUGCGCGCCUACCUCCGCUCCUCGCUCCCGCUGCAGGCCCUGCUCGUCCUCCGCGGCCUCCUCCCGCGCGCGCCCCGCCUCCUCGCCAACUCCUUCUCCCUCUCCCUCGCCCUCCAGGCCUGCGCCGCCUCCGCCGCGCUCGCCUCGUCCGCCGCGACCCGGCCGCUCGGCGCCUCGCUCCACGCGCGCGCGGUCAGGUCCGGCUUCGCCGCCGCCGACCUCUUCGUGCGCACCGCGCUCGUCGAGAUGUACGCCAAGUCGGGCCGCGCGGAGCUCGCGCGCGCCGCGUUCGACGAGGCGCCCCGCCGUGACGUGUUCCUCUGCAACGUCAUGCUCGCGGCCUACGUCGCGCGCGGCGAGGUCGCGGAGGCGAGGAGGGUGUUCGACGGAAUGCGGGACAGGGACCUGGUGUCCUGGAACACGAUGAUCCACGGGUACGCCGUGAGAGGGGACGUCGGCAUGGCGAGGGAGAUAUUCGACGCGACGAGCGACAGGGACGCCUUCUCGUGGAGCUCGAUGAUCUCCGCGUACGCCAAGGGCCGUCGGUCCAAGGAGGCGCUGGAGCUGUGGAAGGUGAUGCGAGCGGCAUGUGUCGCUCCAGACUGCAUCACCAUGGUGAGCGUGCUCUCGGCAUGCAGCGACAUGGGGGCGCUGACCAUUGGCGCAGAGGUACACCAGUUUGUCGAGAGCCACAGGGUUGAGGUAGACAUGAAGCUGGGUACUGCUCUGGUUGACAUGUAUGCCAAGUGCGGCGACAUUGAGAAUUCUCUGAAGGUGUUCCGCGCUAUGCCUGUGAUGGAUGUGCUUACUUGGAGUUCAAUGAUCAUCGGACUGGCCAAUCACGGACUUGGCCAUGAUGCUCUAAGUUUGUUCUCAGAGAUGAUAUCACAAGGACUGCAACCAAAUGAGAUCACCUUCGUUGGAGUUCUUAUGGCGUGCACUCAUGUUGGUCUAGUGAGUGAUGGCAAGAAGUAUUUCAGCUCAAUGACUGACGUUCACGGUGUGGUGCCAAGGGUCGAGCACUACGGAUGCAUGGUCGAUCUUUUGGGUCGUGCAGGCCAUGUUGAGGAGGCAAUGCAGCUUAUCAGGAGCAUGCCUUUUGAGCCUGAUGCGAUUAUUUGGAGAACACUUCUUGGCGCCUGUCGCAUCCAUAAGAAUGUGGAGAUUGCAGAGGAAGCUAUGGCCAAAUUGAAAGUAUUGGAUCCUCUUGCAGAUGGACACUAUGUGUUGCUGUCAAACAUAUAUGCACAAGCAAACUCAUGGGAAGGUGUUGCAGAAAUGAGAAAGACGAUCAAGAGGGAGAACAUUCAGAGGGUUCCGGGAAGAAGUUCGAUCGAAUGGGAGAACACAGUUCACGAGUUUGUUUCCGGUGAUAGAUCGCAUCCGAGGAUUGAGGAGAUCUACAAAAUGUUGGAAAAGAUGAUUGGCCGGUUAACACAAGCAGGAUAUAGGCCAAUGACAAGCUUGGUAUUGCAAGAUAUUGAUGAGCAGUCUAAGAAGCGGGCACUGGCUGAACAUAGCGAGAAGCUGGCCAUUGCUUUUGGGCUGCUGACCACCCCUCCAGGGUCAACUCUUCGAAUAACAAAGAACCUCAGAGCUUGUGAAGACUGCCAUUCAGCGAUUAAGCUUAUAUCCUUGGUAUAUGGUCGCAAGUUGAUUGUUAGAGACCGGAAUCGUUUCCACCAUUUUAGUGAAGGGCAGUGCUCAUGUAAGGAUUAUUGGUAA
rnacentral:rRNA from 1 species